rnacentral:rRNA from 1 species
GAUGAACGCUGGCGGCGUGCCUAAUACAUGCAAGUCGAGCGAACAGACGAGGAGCUUGCUCCUCUGACGUUAGCGGCGGACGGGUGAGUAACACGUGGAUAACCUACCUAUAAGACUGGGAUAACUUCGGGAAACCGGAGCUAAUACCGGAUAAUAUAUUGAACCGCAUGGUUCAAUAGUGAAAGACGGUUUUGCUGUCACUUAUAGAUGGAUCCGCGCCGCAUUAGCUAGUUGGUAAGGUAACGGCUUACCAAGGCAACGAUGCGUAGACGACCUGAGAGGGUGAUCGGCCACACUGGAACUGAGACACGGUCCAGACUCCUACGGGAGGCAGCAGUAGGAAAUCUUCCGCAAUGGGCGAAAGCCUGACGGAGCAACGCCGCGUGAGUGAUGAAGGUCUUCGGAUCGUAAAACUCUGUUAUUAGGGAAGAACAAAUGUGUAAGUAACUAUGCACGUCUUGACGGUACCUAAUCAGAAAGCCACGGCUAACUACGUG